UACGUAGGGGGCUAGCGUUGUCCGGAAUCAUUGGGCGUAAAGCGCGUGUAGGCGGUCCGGUAAGUCCGCUGUGAAAGUCGGGGGGCUCAACCCUCGGAUGCCGGUGGAUACUGUCGGGCUUGAGUACGGAAGAGGCGAGUGGAAUUCCUGGUGUAGCGGGUGAAAUGCGCAGAUAUCAGGAGGAACACCAAUUGCGAAGGCAGCUCGCUGGGACGUUACUGACGCUGAGACGCGAAAGCGUGGGGAGCAAACAGG
rnacentral:rRNA from 1 species